GACGGGGGGGUCCUAGCGUUGUUCGGAAUUACUGGGCGUAAAGCGCACGUAGGCGGCUUUGCAAGUUAGAGGUGAAAGCCCGGGGCUCAACUCCGGAAUUGCCUUUAAAACUGCAUCGCUAGAAUUGUGGAGAGGUAAGUGGAAUUCCGAGUGUAGAGGUGAAAUUCGUAGAUAUUCGGAAGAACACCAGUGGCGAAGGCGACUUACUGGACACAUAUUGACGCUGAGGUGCGAAAGCGUGGGGAGCAAACAGG
rnacentral:rRNA from 1 species